rnacentral:rRNA from 1 species
UACGUAGGGUGCGAGCGUUAAUCGGAAUUACUGGGCGUAAAGCGUGCGCAGGCGGCUUUGCAAGACAGAUGUGAAAUCCCCGGGCUCAACCUGGGAACUGCAUUUGUGACUGCAAGGCUAGAGUACGGCAGAGGGGGAUGGAAUUCCGCGUGUAGCAGUGAAAUGCGGAGAUAUGCGGAGGAACACCAAUGGCGAAGGCAAUCCCCCGGGCCUGUACUGA